rnacentral:rRNA from 1 species
AUUGAACGCUGGCGGCAGGCUUAACACAUGCAAGUCGAGCGGGGGAGGUUGCUUCGGUAACUGACCUAGCGGCGGACGGGUGAGUAAUGCUUAGGAAUCUGCCUAUUAGUGGGGGACAACAUUCCGAAAGGGAUGCUAAUACCGCAUACGCCCUACGGGGGAAAGCAGGGGAUCUUCGGACCUUGCGCUAAUAGAUGAGCCUAAGUCGGAUUAGCUAGUUGGUGGGGUAAAGGCCUACCAAGGCGACGAUCUGUAUCGGGUCUGAGAGGAUGAUCCGCCACACUGGGACUGAGACACGGCCCAGACUCCUACGGGAGGCAGCAGUGGGGAAUAUUGGACAAUGGGCGCAAGCCUGAUCCAGCCAUGCCGCGUGUGUGAAGAAGGCCUUAUGGUUGUAAAGCACUUUAAGCGAGGAGGAGGCUACUUUAGAUAAUGCCUAGAGAUAGUGGACGUUACUCGCAGAAUAAGCACCGGCUAACUCUGUGCCAGCCGCCGCCGUAAGAC